UGGCCCUUAUGGGUAGGGCUUCACACGUCAUACAAUGGUCGGUACAGAGGGUUGCCAAGCCGCGAGGUGGAGCCAAUCCCUUAAAGCCGAUCGUAGUCCGGAUCGUAGUCUGCAACUCGACUACGUGAAGUCGGAAUCGCUAGUAAUCGCAGAUCAGCAUGCUGCGGUGAAUACGUUCCCGGGUCUU
rnacentral:rRNA from 1 species